rnacentral:tRNA from 1 species
UGUAAGAUAAGCUAAGUUUUAAGCUGUUGGGCUCAUGCCCCAAAUAUGAACUAUUUCUUUUACCU